ACCAAUAGCAAUGGAAGGGAGGGAAGUCCUAAACUGUAGCCUGCUCACCUGCAAAACCGGUUCCUACGUUGUACCGCAGACCAACGUAGGUUCCCAAAAGAGAACGUCAGUACAUCCAUUGUACUCAAUGAGUCUCAACGACAGGGGACAAAACUUUAAUAACAUAUACAUUACGAGCAAAGAUUCUAAAUGCAUAUAAGGCAUAAAGCUUAUAAGAACAACUCUAAAAUAAUUGCAUAAUAGCAGUUUAGGAAUAUUCUAAAAGAAAUUCUUUUCUUUUUCUUUCUUAUAAAAAAAAUACUUUACUUUAUACUUUGGAAGUUCCAACUAUCCUGACUUAAUUCUGUCUCAGUCACCGUGUGAUCGGCACGGGUUCGAUCCCAACCUGAUCGAAUAGGCCCAAUCCACGAGGUGACACUCGCUUCAUGGUUCUCAGCGCUCAUGUAUCAUACCUUAGCAUGGCUAAGUAAAUUCUCAGCAACGAGACCUUCAGCUCGUGUGCUCCCUACUUUGGCACAAGUAGUUUCAGGAAGUCAAAGCCUUGGUCAAGACCCUCGGCCUGGACGAUGACCCCUUCUCUGAAUAAAGGAUACUCCCAAAAAUCUUUUCUUUCUAAAACUUCUUCUUGUGACUUUUCAAGUCUAAAUCUUUUCUUUAUAGAACAUCAUGUACAUGUUCAUGCUGGUAUCCUUAAAUGUAAAGCAUGUCAUAAGAAUGGAAUAAACAUGUAAAAGUACUUCUAAGGAUUCUUGCUCCUUCAUAAAUUUUCAACACGAAAAUAGCAUAUAAGAAUAACACAAAAAUCUGAAAAUUUAUGCACAUAUAUUAUAAUAAAUCAUCUAAACUUUUACUAGAACAAUUCUAAGUUGAUAGGUUCUCACUUACUCCAAUUAAGUAAAUAUAAACUCUUUUAAGCAAUUCAUCAAACACUUUGUAUGCGAGCUUUUGUGAGUUAAACCACUUUAGUAAAGGGUUAUAUCAACUCACCUCAAUACUCCUUGAGCCAAUACGUAGACCCCAGACCAAUUUUACCCGUCAAACAAUUGAUUCUACAAUAACCAGUGCAUUUUAAUUAAUUUCAAAGUUUCACACCUAAAUAUGGGAUUUACUGUUGAUAUAGAGAAAGAAGGGAAUUAACUAUUCAACUCUUACCUAUUACUAUUGUAGGGUAAUUGAGAAUAAGAAAUUUUAUAUACCUGAGUUCAAGAAUUAGUGAUUUGUAAAGAACCCUAGAACUUUUCUUGUAAUUUCGUGGUUGCCUCUGUUUCGUAUAAGGCUUUACGCCC
rnacentral:lncRNA from 1 species